UAUAAUCACUAAUGAGAGAGCAUCCUGAAACUUCAGGAAGAUAAUCUAUUGCUAAAGGGAAUUUCUAUAUUCUGUGCUUAUAUUUUUGCUCCCUUGGUUCUGCUUGAUGCAAGAGAACCUUCAUGCACAAGGGGGAUUAUAUUAUGUACUUGAUGUCAUUGUGAUGAUAAACUGGGUGACAAUGCUUGAAAUAAAUCUUUUAUAUGUGGUGUUUUUUUUUUUUUUGGAAGAUAUCCCAAUGGCUCAGUUUUGAAGCACUAGAACGAAAAAAGACAUGAACUGUAAAUUAACUGAGGAAAAUGUAUUCUUUUGUAGGGUAGCUAAUUGUUAUAUAGUCAAUUUCCAGUAAUAUGGGUAGGCCACUUUACAGUUUGUUGUCACACUUUGUGUUUAAACCAUUUGCAGUGGAUCUUUUUCAGUCGUCUAUUAUAGAGUGUGUUGUGGUUGAAGAUUGUUAAAACAGAAGAUUGUUAAAAUAGAAGAUUGUUAAAACAUAUAUAACUCUUUGCCUCAAAAUUGUUCCUUAUUAUUGAUUUUGAUCUUUUUAUUUAUUUUGUUUCACUCUACUAAUACUCUUUUUGGCAAAAACUAUAUUUUACAAAGGCUGGGAGGGAUUUGACAGAUAUUGAAAUAUAUGGGAUGCAAGAAAUCCCACAUGAUGUCUUGGCUGCACAUUAUGGAGAGGAAGUUAAAGGAUCCUUACCAGUGGUUUUUCUUGACUUUGAAAUCUCUUUGGAAGUGUUUUUCAUUAAAGUCCAAUUAUACCAAACAAAGUUCAUAGACCCUAUAAUUUUGUUCAGUUCGAUCAUUUGCUUGUUUACUCUUUGGAAUAUUUUCUGAAAAAUCAUGGUCAUUUGCAGAAGACAAUGCCCCGUCAAAAAUGGCUAAGUGGAAAUCCCAUCAACUCAGCUUGUUGGCGGUGUGGUGCCAGGUUCACUAGGGACAUAUCCUCCUCAACCACCUUUUGUAAUGCGGCCAAUGAAGCUGUCAAGGGACAAUUAUGGAGAUUAUGUGAUCCCCAAGGGAAGCCACCAGGUGCAAUACAGUAGUACAGCUAGCUAGUUCCUAUAUUUAACUUGUGUCUAGUAGAAAUUCUUCCUUCAUUAAGAAUGUGGACUUGUUUGCAGAUUCAAAUUAGUAGAUAUGGGCCAUUUUGAACUGAUGCUCAUGAUUAGGGUUGUGUACAUGAGACAAUGAUGGAUUAGUGGAAAUUGCAAUGAAUGAUUUUGGAUGUGGAUUUUAUGGUUUCA